GUGGAAAUCAUUCAACCGUUUUGGUUUCACUGGUUUUCGGUCUCUCAGAUUCCUGAAUCUCUUUGUACAGUCUGUCUAUAAAGUCGUGACAUGAAUGUUUGAGGAACUAACAUUAUUCAUGUGUCUGGCAACACCAAAGUUCACCAAACAUAUGUACAUCAGCUGUCAUCGAGAACAAGUUGUGGAACGAUUUUCAUUUUGUGGUUUUUAUUGUUUGACUAAUCUCCAGUAAAUUAUUACUCAGCUACGAAGAAAAGUAUAAACAAUGAGUAAAGUAAAUUGGAGUGCCACGCGGAAAGUGAUUUUUAAAGUUUUCCAGCAAUGUUCCGCGGAGUACCAAGCUGGUCAAAUUUUGUGGGAUUUGGAUGAUGUUUAAGGGCGAACAGCAUCUUUGACGGGAAAAUCAGAGAGUACGGUUAGGCGCAUAGUUAAUGAAGGUUUUCAGAAUAAUGGAAAAUUUAGAAUUCCUGGGAAACACAGGCAAGGCCAACCAAAGAAAGAAAUGGAUAAUUUUAAUAUUUGUGCUCUGCGCCAAUAAAUAUAAUUUUUUUACACGGUACAAAAAGAGGUCACAAAAUGUUCGCAAUCUCUAAACAUCAAACAAAAGACAUUUUCAAAGGAAAGCGUUACAUCAUAGUCCAUGCUGGAAGCGAAAAGGGGUUUGUUUCAAACUGCCUCCUCAUAUUCACUGACAGAAAUAAUUUGGAAGACUACCAUUCAGAAAUGAAUGCGCAUAACUUUACGAAGUGGAUUAAAGAAAAACUAAUACCAAAUCUUCAUGAGCCUUCCAUUAUAGUUAUGGACCUGUACCAAGACAAUUGGUUAUUUGCUUAGGCGAUAAUAGCAACAGUGAAGAUGAUGUGAGUGAUGUCAGCGUUACUUAUGAAGGUGGCAACGAAACUUUUCUUAACAUCGAAUAUUUGGAAUCCGAUGAUGAAAGUGAUUAAUAAAUGUCCUUAUUAAAUAUGUA